GAUGAACGCUAGCGAUAGGCCUAACACAUGCAAGUCGAGGGGCAUCACAUGAAGUAGCAAUACGGAUGGUGGCGACCGGCGCACGGGUGAGUAACACGUAUGCAACCUGCCUUCAACAAGGGGAUAACCCGUUGAAAGACGGACUAAUACCCUAUAACACAGGGGUCCCGCAUGGGAAUAUUUGUUAAAGGACAACCGGUUGAAGAUGGGCAUGCGUUCCAUUAGCUAGUUGGCGGGGUAACGGCCCACCAAGGCAACGAUGGAUAGGGGAACUGAGAGGUUUAUCCCCCACACUGGUACUGAGACACGGACCAGACUCCUACGGGAGGCAGCAGUGAGGAAUAUUGGUCAAUGGACGCAAGUCUGAACCAGCCAUGUCGCGUGAAGGAAGACGGCCCUACGGGUUGUAAACUUCUUUUAACGGGAAUAAAGUGCCCCACGCGUGGGGUUUUGCAUGUACCGUAUGAAUAAGGAUCGGCUAACUCCGUGCCAGCAGCCG
rnacentral:rRNA from 1 species